GACGAACGCUGGCGGCGCGCUUAACACAUGCAAGUCGAACGGAAAGGCCUGCUUUCCCUUGUGGAUUGCGGGUACUCGAGUGGCGAACGGGUGAGUAACACGUGAGUGAUCUGCCCCCAACUUGGGUAUAAGCCUGGGAAACUGGGUCUAAUUCCCGAUAGGACUGCAGGGUGGUGCCUGUGGUGGAACACGAUUUUCUAGUGGUUGGGGAUGAGCUCGCGGCCUAUCAGCUUGUUGGUGGGGUAAUGGCCUACCAAGGCGGCGACGGGUAGCCGGCCUGAGAGGGUGGACGGCCACAUUGGGACUGAGAUACGGCCCAGACUCCUACGGGAGGCAGCAGUGGGGAAUAUUGCACAAUGGGCGGAAGCCUGAUGCAGCGACGCCGCGUGGGGGAUGACGGCCUUCGGGUGGUAAACUCCUUUCGACCGCGAGGAAGCCACCUGGUUGGAAGGGUGGUGACGGUAGUGGUAGAAGAAGCACCGGCUAACUACGUG
rnacentral:rRNA from 1 species